GAUGAACGCUGGCGGCGUGCCUAAUACAUGCAAGUCGAGCGAACAGACGAGGAGCUUGCCCCCCUGACGUUAGCGGCGGACGUGUGAGUAACACGUGGAUAAAAUACCUAUAAGACUGGGAUAACUUAGGGAAACAGGAGCUACUACCGGAUAAUAUAUUAAAACGCAUGGUUCAAUAGUGAAAGUCGGUUUUGCUGUCAUUUAUAGAUGGAUCCGCGCCGCAUUAGCUAGUUGGUAAGGUAACGGCUUACAAAGGCAACGAUGCGUAGCCGCCCUGAGAGGGUGAUUGGCUACACGGGAACUGAGACACGGACCAGACUCCUACGGGAGGAAGCAGUAGGGAAUCUUCCGCAAUGGGCGAAAGCUUGACGUAGCAACGCCGCGUGAGUGAUGAAGGUCUUCGGAUCGUAAAACUCUGUUAUUAGGGAAGAACAAAUGUGUAAGUAACUAUGCACGUCUUGACGGUACCUAAUCAGAAAGCCACGGCUAACUACGUG
rnacentral:rRNA from 1 species